rnacentral:rRNA from 1 species
UACGUAGGUGGCAAGCGUUGUCCGGAUUUACUGGGCGUAAAGAGCGCGCAGGCGGUCGUUCAAGUCGCGUCGUGAAAGCCCCGGCUCAACUGGGGAGGGUCACGCGAUACUGAUCGACUCGAAGGCAGGAGAGGGUAGUGGAAUCCUGGUGUAGCGGUGAAAUGCGCAGAUAUCAGGAGGAACACCGGUGGCGAAGGCGGUCUCUGGGCAGUGAACUGACGCUGAGGAGCGAAAGCGUGGGGAGCGAACAGG